rnacentral:snRNA from 1 species
GUGCUGGCUUCAGCAGCACAUAUACUAAAAUUGAAACCAUACAGAGAAGAUUAGCAUGACCACUGAGCAAGAAUGACACACAAAUUCAUGAAACAUUCCAUAUUUUU